rnacentral:rRNA from 1 species
UACAGAGGUCUCAAGCGUUGUUCGGAUUCAUUGGGCGUAAAGGGUGUGUAGGUGGCGCCGUAAGUCGGGUGUGAAAUUUCGGAGCUUAACUCCGAAACUGCAUUCGAUACUGCCGUGCUUGAGGACUGGAGAGGAGACUGGAAUUAUGGUGUAGCAGUGAAAUGCGUAGAGAUCAUGAGGAAGACCAGUGCGAAGCGGGUCUCUGGAC